CGCUGGCGGCGUGCCUAACACAUGCAAGUCAACUUGACUGAAGGAGCAAUCUGACAGUAGAGUGGCGCAAGGGUGCAUAACGCGUAAGUAACUUGCCCAAGGUAAGGAAUAACGUCGAGAAAUCGGCGCUAAUACCUCAUAAUGCAGCGGAUCCGCAUGGAUAUGUUGUUAAAGGUUUACCGCCUUGGGAUAGGCUUGCGUCUGAUUAGCUAGUUGGUGUGGUAACGGCACACCAAGGCUACGAUCAGUAACUGGUCUGAGAGGAUGAUCAGUCACACUGGAACUGAGACACGGUCCAGACUCCUACGGGAGGCAGCAGUGAGGAAUAUUGGGCAAUGCUCGAAAGAGUGACCCAGCAACGCCGCGUGGAGGAUGAAGGUAUUCUAUAUCGUAAACUCCUGUGAGAGCAGACGAAAGACAGAUUAUUAAUCUGGAUGACUGUAUGCUCAGAGGAAGCCCCGGCUAACUACGUG
rnacentral:rRNA from 1 species